rnacentral:rRNA from 1 species
CCCUGGUUGAUCCUGCCAGUAGUUAUAUGCUUGUCUCAAAGAUUAAGCCAUGCAUGUCUCAGUGCAAGCCGUAUUAAGGCGAUACCGCGAAUGGCUCAAUAUAUCAGUUUUGGUUCCUUAGAUCUUACUCAGUUACUUGGAUAACUGUGGUAAUUCUAGAGCUAAUACAUGCAAUCAGAACUCUGACCAGUGAUGGGAUGAGUGCUUUUAUUAGAUCAAAACCAAUCGACGGAGGGCCUCGCGUCCGAAGUCGUUAAUUUUGAUGAAUCUGGAUAACUUUUGCCGAUCGCAUGGUCCAGUACCGGCGACGCAUCUUUCAAAUGUCUGCCUUAUCAACUUUCGAUGGUAGUUUCUGCGACUACCAUGGUUGUCACGGGUAACGGGGAAUCAGGGUUCGAUUCCGGAGAGGGAGCCUGAGAAACGGCUACCACAUCCAAGGAAGGCAGCAGGCGCGCAAAUUACCCACUCCCGGCACGGGGAGGUAGUGACGAAAAAUAACGAUACGGGACUCUUACGAGGCCUCGUAAUCGGAAUGAGUACACUUUAAAUAUUUUAACGAGGAACAAUUGGAGGGCAAGUCUGGUGCCAGCAGCCGCGGUAAUUCCAGCUCCAAUAGCGUAUACUAAAAUUGUUGCGGUUAAAAAGCUCGUAGUUGCAUUUGUGCGCCGCGCUGUCGGUGCACCGCAUCCGCGGUGAUACUGACACGUCUGCGGAGCAUAUCGUCGGUGAGCCGUCGGUUAAACGUCGGUUCAAUAUCAAAAUCCUAUCGCGGUGCUCUUCAAUGAGUGUCGAGGUGGGCCGACAAUUUUACUUUGAACAAAUUAGAGUGCUCAAAGCGGGCUCAAAAUGCUGCUUGAAUAUUUCGUGCAUGGAAUAAUAGAAUAUGAUCUCGGUUCUAUUUUGUUGGUUUUCAGAACUCCGAGGUAAUGAUUAAUAGGGAUAACUGGGGGCAUUCGUAUUGCGACGUUAGAGGUGAAAUUCUUGGAUCGUCGCAAGACGAACAUCAGCGAAAGCAUUUGCCAAAGGUGUUUUCAUCAAUCAAGAACGAAAGUUAGAGGUUCGAAGGCGAUUAGAUACCGCCCUA